AAGUACACGCAGGAUGAUGAUCUUGUGAUUUUUUGACAAAUAAUUUAGUAAUUGUGAAAUAUUAAACUUCCAAGCUGGCAAAUGUAUAGUUUAUGAACUUAUUUUAUUAUUAUUAAUAGUUUUACUUAAGUGACAUAAUUAUGCAUAUCAAUGAGGCCUGUUAUGAUAAUAUCGUAAUAAAAAUAUGUCGAUGUUUAUCUUAUUUCAUGAUCCGUUCAGUUUAUUAACAUUACAUGUUCAAUCAGUGUUCCAAUCGCUCGAAAUUUUGAACACCUCGCGUUAAAAAAAAUAUACCAGGGUACCAAAUACCGGAAACAGAUAUCGGCUGGUGAUUUAGGCGGUUAAACGAAGAAAGGAUACACAUAAGGAAGAGAACUGGAGAAGGGACUUCUAUCUCACAUGAACACGAAAGAAGAAUCGUUAGAUUGGAAUGUUUGAAUUAGAAACCGGUAGCAAAUAAGCCCACGAAGGUCAUUUCUGCAUGCUAUAAAGUGUUGGAAAAAAGAAAGCUGUCAAAACGGAUAUAUAGGCUCGUAGAGAUUACUUGUUGUGGAGGAUUUGACAUUGGAAGUUGAUGAUAACACAUAAAAUGCCACCCAGUUGACAGC